GCUCAGAACGAACGCUGGCGGCGUGCCUAACACAUGCAAGUCGUACGAGAAACACGUCUUCGGGGCGUGGAGUAAAGUGGCGCACGGGUGAGUAACACGUGGGUAACCUGCCCUUGGAACCGGGAUAACUGGCCGAAAGGCCCGCUAAUACCGGAUAAGACUUCAUGAGCUUCGGCUCAUGCGGCCAAAGUCGGCCUCUCGAAGAAGCCGGCGCCUGAGGAUGGGCCCGCGGACCAUUAGCUAGUUGGUGAGGUAACGGCUUACCAAGGCCGAGAUGGUUAGCUGGUCUGAGAGGAUGAUCAGCCACACUGGAACUGAGAUACGGUCCAGACUCCUACGGGAGGCAGCAGUGAGGAAUAUUGCGCAAUGGAGGCAACUCUGACGCAGCAACGCCGCGUGGGUGAAGAAGGCUUUCGGGUUGUAAAGCCCUGUCAGGUGGGAAGAAACCUCUUCUAGUGAAUAGCUAGAGGAACUGACGGUACACCAAAGGAAGCACCGGCUAACUCCGUGCCAGCAGCCGCGGUAAGACGGAGGGUGCAAGCGUUGUUCGGAAUCACUGGGCGUAAAGCGCGUGUAGGCGGUUCGAUAAGUCGAGUGUGAAAGCCCGAGGCUCAACUUCGGAAGUGCAUUCGAAACUGUCGAGCUUGAGUACGGGAGAGGGAAGUGGAAUUCCUGGUGUAGAGGUGAAAUUCGUAGAUAUCAGGAGGAACACCGGUGGCGAAGGCGGCUUCCUGGACCGAUACUGACGCUGAGACGCGA
rnacentral:rRNA from 1 species